UGCCAGCCGCCGCGGUAAUACGGAGGGUGCAAACGUUGUUCGGAAUUACUGGGCGUAAAGCGCGUGUAGGCUGUUUUGCAAGUCGGGUGUGAAAGCCCAGGGCUCAACCUUGGAAGUGCACUCGAAACUGCAAGACUAGAAUUUCGGAGAGGGUAGCGGAAUUCUGGGUGUAGAGGUGAAAUUCGUAGAUAUCCAGAGGAACACCGGUGGCGAAGGCGGCUACCUGGACGAGUAUUGACGCUGAGACGCGAAAGCGUGGGGAGCAAACAGGAUUAGAUA
rnacentral:rRNA from 1 species